ensembl:lncRNA
ACUCCUCCUCCGGGAGCUCUCUCGGGCUUUUUGCUGCUGGAAGUUCAGCGGGCGCAGCUGGAACAGUCCGUUGCGCGACUCUUUUUAAAGUUUUCCCGUUGUCUCUCAAAUGUCCGGACAGCGACAGCCUCCGCGAUGUUGAGAAGAAUUAUGUUCCUGAAAAAGCACAGGUAAAACGACGGCGAACCGCUGUCACACAAAAGACAAGUUUGGCACAGCUUACGCGCAGGCAACCAUUGCAGUCACGUUCUCUGGCUGUGAAAUCCUACACCAGCCUAAACCACGCCCCUUUCCUUUUAUGGGGAGCAGCUCUGAAAAGUGGACGUCCCGCUCUCCCCAGAUGUGGCUUCAGAUGAAAUAAAGCAGUUCCCUGUCCUGUCUUGCUCAUCCCACAUGUCACAUCACAUUUCCCAGGCAGCCUCAGGAAAAGGGCAGAGGCCUCAUGAAUUGAUGUGGGUCACUUACAGGAGCGCGCCCGGGACAAGGACAGGCCUCUCGCAAGCACGCGCACACUCUCACAAAGGUGAAACAGAAAGGGGCACGGAGGUCUGGUGUAAAGAGGGGAAUCCCAGGAGCUACCGAGGCCUGCUUCAUGCCCACUGGACUGGAAGGAAGCCAAAAAUUCAGUUGCUCACACCCCCCACGCAUUAUCUACAAGAGCGAGGGAGAAGAUUCAAGGAGAUGGAUGUCUUCAGGGCUCAACAGCUGUGUAACUUAUACUAUUGUAAAUCUGGAGCAGAGGAGGUUUGCAUCACUGCUGCAAGGCUCAGCUUUCACCCCAGAUAAUAAAGUAAAGGUGAUGUUCAUUUUGCACCAACAUUAUCAAUAAGACACAUAAAUAUGACUCUGAC